UACAGGGGGGGCAAGCGUUGUUCGGAAUUACUGGGCGUAAAGAGUGUGUAGGCGGUGCUCUAAGUUCGGUGUGAAAUCUCCCGGCUCAACUGGGAGGGUGCGCCGAAAACUGGAGUGCUGGAGCGCGGGAGAGGAAAGCGGAAUUCCUGGUGUAGCGGUGAAAUGCGUAGAUAUCAGGAGGAACACCGGCGGUGUAGACGGCUUUCUGGACCGUAGCUGACGCUGGGACACGAAAGCGUGGGUAGCAAACAGG
rnacentral:rRNA from 1 species